rnacentral:tRNA from 1 species
AGCUGAAUUGUUAUCGCGUCCCGAUUGGAAUCGGGAAGGCCGCAGGUUCGAAUCCUGCC